rnacentral:snRNA from 2 species
UCACUUACCUGGACGGGGUCAAUGGGUGAUCAAGAAGGUCCAUGGCCUAGGUUGGUGACCUCCACUGCACUUAGGAGGGGUGCCCGCCUAAGGUCGGCCCAAGUGGUCGAGCCUACGUCAUAAUUUGUGGCAGUGGAGGCCUGUGUUCACGCGGCCUCUU